AAACACGGACCAAGGAGUCUAACAUGCAUGCGAGUCCACGGGGAACUGCAAACCCCAAAGGCGCAAUGAAGGUGAAGUAGGUCACCCUACCAAGGCAGGAUCCCAGCUCCCCGCGAGCCUGGGCGCACUGCCGGCCCGUCCAACGAUCGCCUCGUCGAUCGGGCGGAGCUAGAGCAUGCAUGUUGGGACCCGAAAGAUGGUGAACUAUGCCUGGGCAGGACGAGGCCAGAGGAAACUCUGGUGGAAGUCCGUAGCGAUUCUGACGUGCAAAUCGAUCGUCGGACCUGGGUAUAGGGGCGAAAGACUAAUCGAACCAUCUAGUAGCUGG
rnacentral:rRNA from 1 species